rnacentral:rRNA from 1 species
UACAGAGGUCUCAAGCGUUGUUCGGAUUCAUUGGGCGUAAAGGGUGCGUAGGUGGCGCGGCAAGUCGGGUGUGAAAUCUCGGAGCUUAACUCCGAAACUGCAUUCGAUACUGCCGUGCUUGAGGACUGGAGAGGAGACUGGAAUUUACGGUGUAGCGGUGAAAUGCGUAGAUAUCGUAAGGAAGACCAGUGGCGAAGGCGGGUCUCUGGACAACUCCUGACACUGAGGCACGAAAGCUAGGGGAGCAAACAGG